rnacentral:miRNA from 1 species
CUCUCCCUCUUUACCCACUAG